AGGGAGCAUGAGAAACGGCUACCACAUCUAAGGAAGGCAGCAGGCGCGUAAAUUACCCAAUCCUGACUCAGGGAGGUAGUGACAAGAAAUAGCAAACCGGGAACCUCAUGGUUUCACGGUAUAGCAAUGAGAACAAUUUAAAACCCUUAGCGAGAAUCAAGUGGAGGACAAGUCUGGUGCCAGCACCCGCGGUAAUUCCAGCUCCACUAGCGUAUAUUAAAGUUGUUGCAGUUAAAAAGCUCGUAGUUGAACCUCUGUCUGGGGCUAGUUUUGGCUUUGGUCAGGCUAGUUCUAGGCAUCCGCCUACAAGACUUAGAGGGCAUUCAGUUGUUCACUAGGAGGAGUAGGCAUUUUACUUUGAAAAAAUUAGAGUGUUUAAGGCAGGCAAUCGCCCGCAUAUAUUAGCAUGGAAUAAUAGAAUAGGACACUUUUCCAUUUCGUUGGUUAUCGGAAUCGUGUAAUGAUUAAUAGGGACAGUUGUGGGCAUUUGUAUUUAAUUGUCAGAGGUGAAAUUCUUGGAUUUAUUAAAGACAAACUAACGCGAAAGCAUUUGCCAAGGAUGUUUUCAUUAAUCAAGAACGAAAGUUAGGGGAUCAAAGACGAUCAGAUACCGUCCUAGUCUUAACUAUAAACUAUUCCGACUCAAUGUUUGACUGGCUUAUAUAACCAGUUGAGCGUUGUAUGAGAAAUCAAAGUCUUUAGGUUCUGGGGGGAGUAUGGUUGCAAAGCUGAAACUUAAAGGAAUUGACGGAAGAGCACAACCAGGAGUGGAUUCUGCGGCUUAAUUUGACUCAACACGGGGAAACUUACCAGGUUAAAACAAUAGUGGGAUUGACAGUUUGAGAGCGCUUUCUUGAUUGGUUGGGUGGUGGUGCAUGGCCGUUCUUAGUUGGUGGAGUGAUUUGUCUGCUUAAUCGCGUUAACGAACGAGACCUUAACCUGCUUACUUGACUGGCGAUCAUCAAUCGUUAGCUCUUCUUAGAGGGACUUUGGUUGUUUUAACUCCAAGGAAGUUUGAGGCAAUAACAGGUCUGUGAUGCCCUUAGAUAUCCUGGGCCGCACGCGUCAUACAAUGACUAGUUCAGAAAGUUUUCUCCUGACCCGAAAGGGGAUGGGUAAUCUUGAUAAUACUAGUCGUGUUAGGGAUCGAUCUUUGCAAUUAUAGAUCUUGAACGAGGAAUUCCUAGUAAGUGCGGUUCAUCAGACCGUACUGAUUACGUCCCUGCUCUUUGUACACACCGCCCGUCGCUUCUACCGAGUGGGUGGUCCGGUGAGAUAAUUGAACUUCGCAGGUAACUGAGAGGAAAGAUUAUCAAACCUAUCCACCUCGAGGAAGAAGAAGUCGUAACAAGGUU
rnacentral:rRNA from 1 species